CAGUCAUAAGAAUUUCAGAGCACCAGAUUUUUGAUAAUCAACGUAGUAGAAGAAGGUGAAUAAUGGAUCCCAGUUGCGUGCAUCACAAUGGGAACAACCUCAUGGGCAGCAGGGUUCGGAUGAUUUUGAGAUGCCAUGGAAAUGAAGCAAUAUUGGGAAUCUGCAUAUGCACCUAAUUCAGAACAUUCUACAAGUUGUUCUGUUUCAAGCCAACUUAUCAUCCAUCGACGUUGCAAAUUUGCAGCCAGUUGCUCAUACUGUGGUCGAAGCUACUUUGUUGCCAUAUGCAAACGCAUACUUGAACAACGGGUUGCCACUGCCCGCUGUCCGUGGCUUCAAAUUUCAAAAUGCCGAUGUAAUCAAUGCCUGCUCGAGAAUUACGGUGUAGCAGCGACGUUCGUAAAAAAAGUUGAAUGGAAAUUUCA